GUUUGGCACUGCUACCACAGGGUUCACACCAUGCUAUGUCAAAAAGGAGGUGAUGAGACUCUGGGAGUCUCAGGCUCAAAGAAUGUCCUGAACCAACCUGAAGCCAUACCUGAACAUCCAUGUUUGGCAGAAGAGUGUGUGAGGAGCAGCCUGAACAGUCCGGGAGAGGAGUGAGAAUGACUUGGUUUCAUUAUCUUCACUCAUAUUAUCAAAUACUGAAUAACGGAUGUGUAAAGUCUUCAGCGUUGUGGCUUUAUAAUGUGUCAACUUGGCAAGACUGGACUACGCUUCCCAGAGAUCCCCUUUCCUGCAUGUUUUUGGGCCACCAGAGAGAUUCCUGUGUGGGAUUUGGUGAGCAGAAACAAAGCAGCAGCCAUGCUGUAGCUCACACAUUAUUGUUUACCCAUGGUCUCAAUCACUGUUGCGGAGCAGUGGACAGGCUGGAACUGGCCCACCUUUCCCGGAUCCUCCUUCAACCUCUCUGA
rnacentral:lncRNA from 1 species